UCCGGGUGGUUGCGCACAGACGCGUUGCGCAGGUGGUGGGCCCGGGAUGGCCCUCUGACGCCUGCGCACAAAGAGGAGGCCGGGCCUGCGGCGCCUCUGCUAGAGCCGCUUGCAUGGCCGAGGCUGGCCGCGUGGUGGCGCCUGUGGCCGCGAGGAAUAAGUGAGGCGCUCUUGCUAGCUUUCCCGGGUUUCGUGCGUCAGACACUACGGUGACGAGCAGAGAAAGGAUGCGGGUGGGCGGUGUUUGUGCUUGGAAAUAUUUCACAUUGCUAAAUAAGCCUCCGCACAGAGGGGAACUGCGGCGUGGUGAGAGGUGGGCUUUGCUGGAGGUCGCGUGUCGAAUUAGGCGCGGGCAGUCCCCGGAGCCCGGUGUUAACUCCGCACGCAACUCUGCUCCUGGCCGCCCCUGCAUUUGUUGCACCAUUGUCGCGGGCUAGAGUCCGGCUCUCCUCUGCUCUCCCCCGAGGCGCCUGGGACCUCAAAAAUGCGCGUGUAUGUGGCUCAGAUGGAGUAGCCCAGACCCCAGGAUAAGGGGGUGUGUGGUUUCCUGGGUUGGCGACACCCCCACCGCUGCCAUGAACAUCCUCCCCAGCCCCAUUUCGACAGCCACUUUCGAAAUAACCACAACGUUGGGAUUGGUCCCAUUCUUUAUUGGCGUUCCCUGCCCCCGGCCCAGCCCCACAUCGUCGCCGGCCAGCUAGGUGCGGCUGCAGGGGUUCGCGGUAGAGCCCAGUUUGCGGCAGUAGCAGAAGGCGUUGAAGAAGCGGCAGUAGCACGUGGCACACGGGUCGCAGCACGGAACCUGCUGGCCCAGACAGGACUCGUGCAGCCUUACGCAGCGGCGCGGGGAGCGAGGCUCGCGGUCUUGCGGGUCUAGCACCUGAACAGCCAGAAGCAUCUGCCUCGAUGGACCACGUCGUACCUCUGCACAAAACCCACUCAUGCUCCUGUCUUCCCCAGCCCUCAGGGGUAGUCCCAGCUUGGCACGUGAGUUAGCGAGAGAGACAGAGAAAAAAGUCCUCCCCCCGUUGGCCCACCCUCCAAAUGGCCACUGCGGCUGGAACUACACCGAUCUGAAGCCAGGAGCCAGGCCCCCCCACCCCGGUCUCCCAUGCGGGUGCAGGAGCCCAAGCACCCAGGCCAUCCUCCACCGCCAUCCCGGGCCACAGCAGAGACCUGAAGAGGAGCAACCGGGACCAUAACCCGGCACCCACAUGGGAUACCGGCGCCACAGGAGGAGGACCAACCAAGUGAGCUAUGUGCCGUCCCCCUUUUUUAAACUUUUUUUUUCUAUACUGAUUUCCAUGUAUUUGAAAAGCAGCCCGAUAGAGAAUCUGAGAGAGAGAGAGAGAGAGAGAGAGAGAAAGAAAGAGGGAGAGAGAGAGAGAGA